ACGUAGGGAGCAAGCGUUGUCCGGAAUCAUUGGGCGUAAAGCGCACGUAGGCGGUCCAGCAAGUCGGGUGUGAAAGCCCUCGGCUUAACCGAGGAAGUGCAUUCGAAACUACUGGGCUUGAGUACUGAAGAGGAUCGCGGAAUUCCCGGUGUAGAGGUGAAAUUCGUAGAUAUCGGGAGGAACACCAGUGGCGAAGGCGGCGAUCUGGGCAGAUACUGACGCUGAGGUGCGAAAGCGUGGGGAGCAAACAGGA
rnacentral:rRNA from 1 species